rnacentral:rRNA from 1 species
CAAGCGUUAUCCGGAAUUACUGGGCGUAAAGCGUGCGCAGGCGGUGAUGUAAGACAGAUGUGAAAUCCCCGGGCUCAACCUGGGAACUGCAUUUGUGACUGCAUCGCUGGAGUGCGGCAGAGGGGGAUGGAAUUCCGCGUGUAGCAGUGAAAUGCGUAGAUAUGCGGAGGAACACCGAUGGCGAAGGCAAUCCCCUGGGCCUGCACUGACGCUCAUGCACGAAAGCGUGGGGAGCAAACAGG